rnacentral:rRNA from 1 species
CCUACGGGUGGCUGCAGUGGGGAAUAUUGGACAAUGGGCGAAAGCCUGAUCCAGCCAUGCCGCGUGUGUGAAGAAGGCCUUCGGGUUGUAAAGCACUUUCAGUGGGGAAGAAAGCCUUGGGGCUAAUACCCUCGAGGAAGGACAUCACCCACAGAAGAAGCACCGGCUAACUCCGUGCCAGCAGCCGCGGUAAUACGGAGGGUGCGAGCGUUAAUCGGAAUUACUGGGCGUAAAGCGCGCGUAGGCGGUCUGAUAAGCCGGUUGUGAAAGCCCCGGGCUCAACCUGGGAACGGCAUCCGGAAGUGUCGGGAGGGAGUCAGAGAGAGGGAGGAGGAAUCCCAGGGGUAGGGGUGAAAUGCAUAGAGCGGGGGAGGAAAACCGGGGGCGAGGGCGGCUUAAGAAGUUAAGACUGACGCUGGUGUGCGACAGCGUGGGUAGAAAACAGGAUUAGAGACCCAAGUAGUC